GUGCUCACUUUGACAGCACAUAUACUAAAAGUGGAAUGAUACAGAGAAGAUAAACAUGGUCUCUGCCCAAGGAUGACAUGCAAAUUCAUCUUGUUUCAUAGUUUUCU
ensembl:snRNA U6 U6 spliceosomal RNA